GAUGAACGCUAGCGGCAGGCCUAAUACAUGCAAGGCGAGGGGUUAGCAAUAACACCGUCGUACGGGUGCGUAACGCGUAUGCAACCUACCUAUCACCGGGGGGAUAGCCUUUGGAAACAGGGAUUAAUACCGCAUAAUACUGAUAGUCAGCAUUGGUUUUCAGUUAAAGAUUUAUUGGUGAUAGAUGGGCAUGCGUCUGAUUAGUUAGAUGGUGAGGUAACGGCUCACCAUGACGAUGAUCAGUAGGGGCGUCAGAGCGUGGUCCCCACACUGGCACUGAGAUACGGGCCAGACUCCUACGGGAGGCAGCAGUAGGGAAUAUUGGGCAAUGGAUGCAAGUCUGACCCAGCCAUGCCGCGUGCAGGAAGAAGGUCCUCUGGAUUGUAAACUGCUUUUGUCGGGGAAGAAUAGGUCUCUUGCGAGGGAUUGUGACGGUACCCGAUGAAUAAGCCACGGCUAACUACGUGCCAGCAGCCGCGGUAA
rnacentral:rRNA from 1 species